rnacentral:lncRNA from 1 species
ACAAAUAUAACUAUUAUUUUCUAAAAUAAAUUAGAAAAAUGGGAGCACCCAUACUUAAUCGAGUAAUGGAGCUUGGGUACGUAGGUUCCACCACGAGAAUCCUAAUCAAAAUAAUAUAUUCGGUCUCCUAAUUUUACCAAUAGAGUCAAACCCCAUAGCAUUUGCCAAAUAACAAAAACUAAUUGAGGAGGAAACAAAAAACUGAUUAAUGAAGACCACAUGAAAUUUGGAAAACUAAAAUGGUAUGAAAAAAAAACGACAACACACAUGACAAAAAAAGAAGAGCAUGCAACCUAAAAAAAAUUAAGAGACACCACAUGCAAUACAUGACACACACACAAAAGAAAAAAAAGCAAAGAAAAUCAAACAUAACUUGGACUUACAAACCAUUAC